UGGGGAAUAUUGCACAAUGGGGGAAACCCUGAUGCAGCGACGCCGCGUGAGCGAAGAAGGUUUUCGAAUCGUAAAGCUCUGUCCUAUGGGAAGAUAAUGACGGUACCAUAGGAGGAAGCCCCGGCUAACUACGUGCCAGCAGCCGCGGUAAUACGUAGGGGGCAAGCGUUGUCCGGAAUCACUGGGCGUAAAGGGUUCGCAGGCGGAAAUGCAAGUCAGUUGUGAAAGGCAGAGGCUCAACCUCUGUAAGCAAUUGAAACUGUAUUUCUUGAGAUGUGGAGAGGCAAGUGGAAUUCCUAGUGUAGCGGUGAAAUGCGUAGAUAUUAGGAAGAAUACCGGUGGCGAAGGCGACUUGAUGGACACAAACUGACGCUGAGGAACGAAAGCGUGGGUAGCAAACAGG
rnacentral:rRNA from 1 species